UACGGAGGGUGCAAGCGUUAUCCGGAUUCACUGGGUUUAAAGGGUGCGUAGGUGGGCAGUUAAGUCAGUGGUGAAAUCUCCGGGCUUAACCCGGAAACUGCCAUUGAUACUGGCGGACUUGAGUGCGUGAGGGGUUACCGGAACGAGCAGUGUAGCGGUGAAAUGCGUAGAUAUUGCUCGGAAGGCCAGAGGCGAAGGCGGGUAACUGGCACGGUACUGACGCUGAGACGCGAAAGCGUGGGGAGCGAACAGG
rnacentral:rRNA from 1 species